rnacentral:rRNA from 1 species
AUUGAACGCCGGCGGCAGGCCUAACACAUGCAAGUCGAGCGGAUGACGGGAGCUUGCUCCUUGAUUCAGCGGCGGACGGGUGCGUACUGUCUAGGCAUCGGCAUGGUAGUGGGGGACAACGUUGCGAGCGGAACGCUAAUUCAGCAUACGUCCUAACGUAGAAAGUAGUGGACGUUCGGGCUUUCCGCUAUCUGCUUAUUCUACGUAGGAUUAGCAAGUAGGUGAGGUAACGGCUCACCGAGGCCACGAUACGUAACUGGUCUGAGAGGAUGAGCAGUCACGCUGAAACUGAGACACGGUCCAGACUCCUACGGGAGGCAGCAGUGGGGAAUAUUGGACAAGGGGAGAAAGCCUGAUCCAACCAUGCCGCGUGUGUGAAGAAGGUCUUCGGAUUGUAAAGCACUUUAAGCGAGGAGGAGGCUACUCUAGUUAAUUCUCUUGGAUAGUGGACGUUACUCGCAGAAUAAGCACCGGCUAACUCUGUGCCAGCAGCCGCCGUAAAAC